rnacentral:tRNA from 1 species
GUUUCCGUAAUGUAGCGGUUAUCACGUUCGCCUAACACGCGAAAGGUUCCCGGUUCGAGCCCGGGCGGAAAUG